rnacentral:lncRNA from 12 species
GACAAGAUGUUUGUGAAUUCUGGACGUGAGAACUCUCCUCCAUUUGCUGCUGACUUCUGUCUGAGAAGAUGAGCAUGGAUUAUCUCUUGAAGAGGAAAUCAUUUUUCACAGAGACAUUUAAGAAAGAACGUCUGGGAACUAAUGCACCUACAAUAUGUGAAGUGCUUUUAUAUAUGUUAUCUCUUUUCACCUUACAUAAACUCCAUGGGUUAAGUACAAUUUCCUCCAGCUUAGAAAUGAGGAAGCCAAGGCUCACAGGUCAUGUGACUUCAUCAGUGACUAACCUAAGAAGUGGUGCAGGCAGUCAUGAACCUGGUUAAUAAAGCUUGUACUUCAGCAACUUUAAAAUGCUGGUAUUGUGCUGGGAACUUGAGUUAGGUUAUUUGUGUCUUAUAGAUCUUAUAGCAAGUUGUGACACCAAUAUCAUUGUCUUAUUAUUAUCCCAUUAUAAUCAUCAUUUUAGGUGGAGACAAUUUUAGAGAGGCUUAGAGGAGUAUUUCCCAAAACUCAAUGACUCAUCAGAAUUUCAUGACAAAUUUUUAAAAUUCUUAACUCAAGGGAUCCAUGCCUAAGUAUUCUUAUUUAAUCACUCUUUCAUGAGAUAUUUAUAAUUUUUUAAACUUUCCCAGGUGACGGUAAUAUGCCGCUAGGAUUUGGAAGCACUGAUUAGUGGACACUUUUAGUAUUUGGAAGAGUAGGCAUUGGAACAUUCAUCUAUGUUCCACCAUGGUAUGAAGCUGGGAUAUAGGUGAUAUUUGUAUACUAUUAUCAGUUUAUUGGUAUUAUGUAAUUUAAUGCUUACAAUGGUGAUCUGUGAUAAAUAUUUACCCCCUGGUGUUUAAUGGACACAAAUACAAUUACAUGUCAUAUUAUUUAUUGUUGCAUAACAAUCUCAAUACAAAAUUAUCAGCUAACAUAGCACACACUGGCGAAUUGUACUUCCAGGAAGAUAGAAUAGAUACUACUUUUCCUAUCCUUUAUGCUAGGUAAAGGUAAAAUUCCUGGACAUUAUAUAGAAAGCAAAUAGAAGAAAUCUGAAAGGUGAAGAGAAGAAGGUAGACUGACUAGGCAACUUGGGACCUAGAAAUUGACACGGUUGUGAGUUUUUUCUUUCUUUCUUUUUUUUUUUUUGUUUUGUUUUGUUUUUUAAAGAUGCCAUUAUUUGUUUUCUAAUAUGAUAACGUAUAAAUGAAUCACAUUCAUAUUUUUAAUAAACAGCUUUAUUGAGGUAUAAUUUACUUACUG